rnacentral:rRNA from 1 species
AGAGUUUGAUCCUGGCUCAGAUUGAACGCUGGCGGCAGGCCUAACACAUGCAAGUCGAGCGGUAGCACAGAGAGCUUGCUCUCGGGUGACGAGCGGCGGACGGGUGAGUAAUGUCUGGGAAACUGCCUGAUGGAGGGGGAUAACUACUGGAAACGGUAGCUAAUACCGCAUAACGUCGCAAGACCAAAGUGGGGGACCUUCGGGCCUCAUGCCAUCAGAUGUGCCCAGAUGGGAUUAGCUAGUAGGUGGGGUAACGGCUCACCUAGGCGACGAUCCCUAGCUGGUCUGAGAGGAUGACCAGCCACACUGGAACUGAGACACGGUCCAGACUCCUACGGGAGGCAGCAGUGGGGAAUAUUGCACAAUGGGCGCAAGCCUGAUGCAGCCAUGCCGCGUGUGUGAAGAAGGCCUUCGGGUUGUAAAGCACUUUCAGCGGGGAGGAAGGCGAUAAGGUUAAUAACCCU